CCUACGGGGGGCAGCAGUGAGGAAUAUUGGUCAAUGGUCGGGAGACUGAACCAGCCAAGCCGCGUGAGGGAGGAAGGUACAGAGUAUCGUAAACCUCUUUUGUCAGGGAACAAAGACUGGGACGCGUCCCCGGAUGAGUGUACCUGAGUAAGAAGCCCCGGCUAACUACGUGCCAGCAGCCGCGGUAAUACGUAGGGGGCAAGCGUUAUCCGGAAUUACUGGGUGUAAAGGGAGCGUAGACGGUGAUGUAAGUCUGGAGUGAAAGGCGGGGGCCCAACCCCCGGACUGCUCUGGAAACUAUGUGACUGGAGUGCAGGAGAGGUGAGCGGAAUGCCGAGUGUAGCGGUGAAAUGCGUAGAUAUUAGGAGGAACACCAGUGGCGAAGGCGGCUCACUGGACUGUAACUGACGUUGAGGCUCGAAAGCGUGGGGAGCAAACAGGAUUAGAUACCCGGGUAGUC
rnacentral:rRNA from 1 species